GAAAGAGAGAGAGAAAAAAGGAAUGAAAAAGGGAAGAGGGAAAAGGCAGCAACACACUUAUAUCUGCUGUCCUGCAAACAAGAGGCAAAUGAGAGAUUGUGAGAGUCAGGGAGAGUGUGCCAGAGUAAGAAGAGAGAGAGAAAAAGAGGAUCUCAGAAAGCUGUGUCCUUGAGAACUGCAUCACAACUCUUUGAAGAGAGUCUGGAGAAGGUUAUCUCAGGAGUGAGGACAGCUUGCAGCAGACACCCGACAAGAAGAAUAUCAGGUUUGUUACUGACUGUGAAGCCUUGACCCGAUAUUGUACACUCUACAGUCGAGUGGGAUGGCCUUCUUUGUCCAACACAAGCACAGAAUAUGGAAAAAGAGCCUACAUGGAACAUGUUGCAAAAAGACUGUAAAUUAACUGAACUUGUUUCAUUGAGAGCACUAAAAAUUACUUCUUUAAAUUCUGACUGUGUUUUUAAUCAUUAUUUUGUAUGACAUUUAAUUGAGUAACUAAUUGUGAUUAUUGUAUAACUUUUGCAGUCUCUCAACCAGGACUCAUUUAAAAACAGGUUUUUAAUAUCAGUGGGAGUUUUCCUGGUGAGAUAAAGGCUAAACAAAAUGAAUGUACAGUGCUUUAGUUCAAAGUUGUGGUUUGUAUCUAAUGCUCCAAGGUCUAUAAUGAUGUUGGACCAAAUAAACUAAGUUAAAGCAAGGAAGACAAGCUGAUUCCUGAAAAACAACAGCAACAACAAAUUUAAUGUACAUUUUUAAUGUAAGAAUUUGUGGAACAGCUGUGGAACAGCUUUAAUGUAAUGUGGCAGUAAUGCUUUUCAUUUUCCUAAAAGAUAUGACAUUUACCUGCCUCAGAGUAACUGAAAAGGACAUCAAACUAUAAAUUGGAACUGUAAAAAACAAUUAAAA